UACGUAGGUGGAAAGCGUUGUCCGGAUUUACUGGGCGUAAAGAGCGCGCAGGCGGUCGUACAAGUCGCGUGUGAAAGCCCCCGGCUCAACUGGGGAGGGUCACGCGAUACUGUUCGACUCGAAGGCAGGAGAGGGAAGCAGAAUUCCCGGUGUAGUGGUGAAAUGCGUAGAUAUCGGGAGGAAUACCGGUGGCGAAGGCGGGUCUCUGGGCCGAUAUUGACGCUGAGGAGCGAAAGCGUGGGGAGCGAACAGG
rnacentral:rRNA from 1 species